GUUGCUUUUUUUUUCUUUUUAAUCAUGUCAACCUCUAUGCACUGACAAGCUUAAAAUCAAACCGAGUUUCGUUGCAGUCGUCAGUGAAACAAUAAUUACUGUCAAACCUGCUCCAUCCGCGAGAUCGUCGAUGUAUCACGUUAUGCAACAUCUCAAGGAAGAAUUGCCGAAAGUCGUCAUCAAGAGUUUGUCAACAGUCAGCCGAGCUGUCAUCAAUAUUGACGAUAUGAGAAAGCCACCAAGAUAUUACCUACUUGUUGAAGGUGACAGCAUGCGGGAAGUGAUGGCGACUUAAGGUGUUCAAGGGUCCUCGACUACACCAAACAAUAUUUUGGAAGUUUAUCCAUAGCAACGAUUGCCAAAGAAAUUCAAUUCACCAUGACAAGCCACGAUAUGAGUGUCGAUCGUCGUCACGUCGGCGACGUCACCCUUCUUUCAGAUCUGAUGAGUUGUCUUGGUGAAAUCAUGGGAAUCACGAGAAACGGAUUGGCUAAGAUGCCCAUGAUGCCCGUCUUGUUUGACCGGUUCAUCCAAAUGGUCGGCAAGGCCUUGGCCGUGCCGGCCCCGCACGGUCAGUCACUCGCAUCACUCGCCUCCUCCCUGUGCGACGUCCUGCGUGACCGGUGGCCUCGAAGUCCUCGUUAACAACUGCGUAGCCGACGACAGCAAUCUCCAGCUGUCCAGCGCCUGCCUCCUCGAGCAGUGUCUCACCGAAGAGAACCGGGAAUACGUCGUCGAGUGCGAACUCGAUAAGCGAUAAGCUGUAAACCUCAUUUCUCUAUCUAUCUAUCUCCUGUCAAGCCUGUCAAUCUCUGCAUCGUCGAUUCGUCGUUGGC